GGGCUCAUGGUCUAGCGGUCAUGUGCCGCCCCGGCAGCUGACAGACAACGCCCUUACACGGCGUAGAUCGCCGGUUCGAAUCCGGCUGAGCCCA
rnacentral:tRNA from 1 species